rnacentral:rRNA from 1 species
AUGUUGUUUGCAUUGGUGUCUGCGUUGAGCAUGAACAUGAUUAGAUCAUGUUUGUUGCAAUACGGUUAUUCAUUUAAGUCAGAGAAUAAUGGUAAUUCUGUUUACAUGAAUAAUACCUUCUAUGGUCAUACACCCAAUGUGAAUGGUUUAUUGAAUCUCGGUCGUAGUGAUACACAUGUUCAUAACAUUGAUGCCAAAAGAUAUAGAGUUGAUAAUGAUAGUACCACUUUCUUGUGGCACUGCCGCUUAGGUCAUAUUAGUGUAAAGCGCAUGAAGAACCUCCAUGCUAAUGGACUUUUGGAGUCACUUGAUUUUGAAUCACCUGACACAUGCGAACCAUGCCUCAUAGGCAAGAUGACUAAAACCCCGUUUACUGGAACAAUGGAACAUGCAAGUGACUUGUUGGAAAUCACACAUGCUGAUGUGUGCGGUCCGAUGAGUGUUGACGCACGCGGUGGAUAUCGUUAUUUUCUCACCUUCACCGAUGAAUUUAGUAGAUAUGGGUAUAUUUACUUAAUGAAGCAUAAGUCUGAAACAUUUGAAAAGUUCAAGCAAUUUCAGAGUGAAAUUGAGAAUCAUCAUAACAAGAAGAUCAAGUUCCUACGAUCUGAUCAAGGGGAGAGUAUCUGA